rnacentral:rRNA from 1 species
CCCUUAGAUGUUCUGGGCUGCACGCGCGCUACACUGAAAGAGGCAACGUGUUUGCCUGAUUCGAAAGAAUUGGGUAACCCCCUAAUCUCUUUCGUGCUGGGGAUUGAGGUUUGCAAUUAUCCUUCAUGAACGAGGAAUUCCCAGUAAGUGCGAGUCAUUAUCUCGCGCUGACUACGUCCCUGCCCUUUGUACACACCGCCCGUCGCUACUACCGAUUGAAUGAUUUAGUGAGGACUUCGGACUGAGUCCAAUGCGGCUUUCGGGCUGCGUUGGUAUUUCGGAAAGAUGUCCAAACUGUAUCAUUUAGAGGAAGUAAAAGUCGUAACA